rnacentral:rRNA from 1 species
ACGUAGGGGGCAAGCGUUGUCCGGAGUUACUGGGCGUAAAGCGCACGCAGGCGGUCGAUUAAGUUUGGAGUGACAGUUGGUGGCUUAACUGCCAAAGUGCUUCGAAAACUGAUCGACUUGAGGGCUUCAGAGGGACACGGAAUUCCGGGUGGAGUGGUGAAAUGCGUAGAGAUCCGGAGGAACACCGAAGGCGAAGGCAGUGUCCUGGGGAGUACCUGACGCUCAGGUGCGAAAGCCAGGGGAGCGAACGGGA